CACCUGGUUGAUCCUGCCAGUAGUCAUAUGCUUGUCUCAAAGAUUAAGCCAUGCAUGUCUAAGUAUAAGCUUUAAACGGCGAAACUGCGAAUGGCUCAUUAAAACAGUUAUAGUUUAUUUGGUGAUCGAUUACUAUUUGGAUAACCGUAGUAAUUCUAGAGCUAAUACAUGCGUCAAGGCCCGACUUCGGAAGGGCUGCGUUUAUUAGAUACAGAACCAACCUAGGCUCCGCCUAGUCCUUGUUGGUGAUUCAUAAUAACCCGGCGAAUCGCACGGCUUGUCCGGCGAUGGACCAUUCAAGUUUCUGACCUAUCAGCUAUGGACGGUAGGGUAUUGGCCUACCGUGGCGUUGACGGGUAACGGGGAAUUAGGGUUCGAUUCCGGAGAGGGAGCCUGAGAAACGGCUACCACAUCUAAGGAAGGCAGCAGGCGCGCAAAUUACCCAAUCCUGAUACAGGGAGGUAGUGACAAGAAAUAACAAUACAGGGCAAUUCUGUCUUGUAAUUGGAAUGAGUAGAUUUUAAAUCUCUUUACGAGUAUCAAUUGGAGGGCAAGUCUGGUGCCAGCAGCCGCGGUAAUUCCAGCUCCAAUAGCGUAUAUUAAAGUUGUUGCGGUUAAAAAGCUCGUAGUUGGAUUUCUGCCUUGGGCGACCGAUCCACCUUUCCUACGGGAUUGGUCGGUAUCAGGUUUGACCUUGGCUUUUUCUUGGGAUUCGUGCUCACGUACUUAACUGUGCGUUGACCGUGUUCCAAGACUUUUACUUUGAGGAAAUUAGAGUGUUUCAAGCAGGCUUAUGCCAUGAAUACAUUAGCAUGGAAUAAUAGGAUAUGACUUCGGUCAUAUUUUGUUGGUUUCUAGGACUGAAGUAAUGAUUAAUAGGGACAGUCGGGGGCAUUCGUAUUUAACUGUCAGAGGUGAAAUUCUUGGAUUUGUUAAGACGACUACUGCGAA
rnacentral:ncRNA from 1 species